rnacentral:rRNA from 1 species
CCCGCACAAGCAGUGGAGUAUGUGGUUUAAUUCGAAGCAACGCGAAGAACCUUACCAGGGCUUGACAUCCCUUGAAGCAGCUAGAGAUAGCUGUGCCUUCGGGACAAGGAGACAGGUGGUGCAUGGUUGUCGUCAGCUCGUGUCGUGAGAUGUUGGGUUAAGUCCCGCAACGAGCGCAACCCCUGUGGUUAGUUGCCAGCAAGUAGCGUUGGGCACUCUAGCCAGACUGCCGGUGAUAAAUCGGAGGAAGGUGGGGACGACGUCAAAUCAUCAUGCCCUUUAUGUCCUGGGCUACACACGUACUACAAUGGCCGUUACAACGGGAAGCGAAGGAGCAAUCCGGAGCAAAUCCCUUAAAGGCGGUCCCAGUUCAGAUUGUGGGCUGAAACUCGCCCACAUGAAGGCGGAAUUGCUAGUAAUUGCAGAUCAGCAUGCUGCAGUGAAUACGUUCCCGGGCCUU